GCCUUCCUGAGACAGUCAAAGCUGGAGCCCAGCUUACCUUUUCCACUUGUCUGAAGACCCGCAGCAGGUUUCCACGAAGGACACCUUGAAGCUCUUCCUCGCUCCAGCUACGACUCAGCAACUCCUCUAUCAGGACUGGGUAUGUGGACACAUCCUCCAGCCCCUGAGGGAACCUGUGUGGCCACCCACCAGCCAGCUGUGGGACCUUAGCCCUGAUCCUGGGUUGGGGCCCGCUGCCCACCAGCCCUAGUCACACAGGGGAAACUGAAGGCCAAGUUCUUCAGGCUAGUGAAUGCAACCUUGGAGGCUCCUGGAGGACUGGGCUUCUGUAGCCUCCACCUGCUGAGCAGAUGGUCAGCCCACAGCAGGUCUGCUAGGCUGGGAGUGGAGCAUAUCUUGGACAGAUGAGCCCUGCCUGCGGAGGGGAGUAUUUAGCAAGUAUGACAACUUGGAGUGGGGCCACUGGGCCACUGAAGGGACAGGGAGAAACUAGGAAACAGGCCCUGAGAGUGGGGAGUGUCAGGUGGGAUAGGAGACCAGAGCCUGUGGCUGAGGCCUGGAUGGGAGGACGUCAGGAUGGGAAUGAAGACUAAAGGACUCCCUGCUGCACCCCAGCCUAAGAGAAACCUCAGGGAAGCACUCACCGGCCAGUCCCGUCAUAAUUUCCACCAAUCCCGAUGAACUCAGAUCCAAUGACUGCCCUGAUGUGGUCAAAGUGAUCUAGGGUGGAGGUGAGGGUGGGCAGCACUAGGCUAGUUAGACCCUGGCACCAGCCCUGUCCCCAGCACUCCAGGCUGUGGCAGUUGGCUCCACAGAGCUAGCUCAUGGCCAGUCAUGAGUCCUGAAGCGGGUACAGGCUGGUCACUGGACCUAGAGUGGACCUUGGAGCCACCCCUUUGGGACUUUUCCUGCCCAGGAGCCACCCUGCCUCUGGGUUCCUUGAGAGCCUGGUGCAGGCUGAGCCUGUCCUGCCCAGAGAUGUGGGGAAUGAGAGAAGUUCAAGGAUUGGGAGCAAAACCAGGAGGCAUCAAACACAUCAGCACUGACUCUGUGGCUCCAGAUCUGGGUGGCACUGAAGAGCUGUGUCUGCUGCCUCUGGGUCGUUGGGAGGUCUGCCCAUUGCCCAACAGGUGCACUAGACUGCUAGAGUCGUCCUGAGGGCCCUGGCAGCCACAGCCCAAGCCAGCACUGCACAAAGCUGAGGUGGGACUUACCUGCCACAGUGGACACGUUAGCAAGCAGGUUGCACUGCAGCACCCCCAUGGACAGUGUCACCAUCACGAUGCCACCGUUCUUCUUCUAGAGGGAUAAAGGGAUACUCAUCUCAGCCCUUCUGGCCUGAGAACAUGCCUCCUGUGCUGUGGGGGCCCUGGUAGGACUGUGCUCCAUCCUGGCUUCAGGGGUUGGAAGAGGCUUCACCUCUCUGCGUUUGUGGGUCCCUGAGUGGAAAUUACUUGGCCUUAAGUUUCAGGGAUGGAGGAGGAUUAACCAGCCUUUGGUCCAAGGGUGUGUGAAACCUGGGCUGGUGGCUUUGUGCUCAGGGUCAAGAACCUUUGGAUAACACAUGCCUAGUUUGAGAG
rnacentral:lncRNA from 1 species